GGAAGGUGCACUUGGCACAUAU
rnacentral:rRNA from 1 species